AUUGAACGCUGGCGGCAUGCCUUACACAUGCAAGUCGAACGGUAACAGGUCUUCGGAUGCUGACGAGUGGCGAACGGGUGAGUAAUACAUCGGAACGUGCCCGAGAGUGGGGGAUAACGAGGCGAAAGCUUUGCUAAUACCGCAUACGAUCUCAGGAUGAAAGCAGGGGACCGCAAGGCCUUGCGCUCACGGAGCGGCCGAUGGCAGAUUAGGUAGGUGGGGGGAUAAAAGCUUACCAAGCCGACGAUCUGUAGCUGGUCUGAGAGGACGACCAGCCACACUGGGACUGAGACACGGCCCAGACUCCUACGGGAGGGAGCAGUGGGGAAUGUUGGACAAUGGGCGCAAGCCUGAUCCAGCCAUGCCGCGUGCAGGAUGAAGGCCUUCGGGUUGUAAACUGCUUUUGUACGGAACGAAAAGACUCUGGUUAAUACCUGGGGUCCAUGACGGUACCGUAAGAAUAAGCACCGGCUAACUACGUGCCAGCAGCCGCAGUAACAC
rnacentral:rRNA from 1 species